rnacentral:rRNA from 1 species
UAAGACAGAGGCCUCGAGCGUUAGGCGGAAUCACUGGGCUUAAAGCGUGUGUAGGCGGAUCGUUAAGUGUCUUGUGAAAUCCCACGGCUCAACCGUGGAACGGCUGGGCAUACUGGCGAUCUUGAGCAGCCUAGGGGCGACCGGAACAAACGGUGGAGCGGUGAAAUGCGUAGAUAUCGUUUGGAACGCCGAUGGUGAAAACAGGUCGCUGGGGGCUUGCUGACGCUGAGACACGAAAGCCAGGGGAGCAAACGGGAUUAGAUACCCCGGUAGUCCUGGCCCUAAACGAUGUCCACUAGAUCGUGGCGCCUCUGACGGCGUCGCGGUCGAAGCAAAAGUGCUAAGUGGACCGCCUGGGAAGUACGGUCGCAAGGCUA